rnacentral:rRNA from 1 species
AGAAUCAACGCUGGCGGCGUGCCUAACACAUGCAAGUCGCACGAGAAAGGGUAGCAAUACCUGAGUAAAGUGGCGCACGGGUGAGUAACACGUGAAUUAUCUACCUCCGAGUGGGGAAUAACUGAGAGAAAUCUUAGCUAAUACCGCAUAACACUUACGAGUCAAAGCAGCAAUGCGCUUGGAGAGGAGUUCGCGGCCGAUUAGUUAGUUGGCGGGGUAAUGGCCCACCAAGACGAUGAUCGGUAUCCGGCCUGAGAGGGGCGCGACGGAACGACGACUGGAACGUGAAACACGGUCCAGACUCCUACGGGAGGCAGCAGUGGGGAAUUUUGCGCAAUGGGGGAAACCCUGACGCAGCAACGCCGCGUGGAGGAUGAAAUAUCUUGGUAUGUAAACUCCUUUCGAUGGGGAAGAUUAUGACGGUACCCAUAGAAGAAGCCCGGCUAACUUCGUGCCAGCAGCCGC